rnacentral:lncRNA from 1 species
AUACAUAACCGUUCCGUGUUCGGGUGUAUAAAAAAACAGUCUAAUUUAUGUACCAUAACCAUUCCGUGUUCGAGGAGUAGUAGUAUUUCAAGAUACUCAUGUAUGUCGUUUUGUGUUUGGGUACAUGAAAAAUUAGUGAUAAAUAUGUAUAUCUACGUACAAUAUAUGAUAACUAAUUGAUCAUUCAUAAUAGUAACAAAGUAUAUAAUGAAGCAAUUGUGAAUCUAAUUUCGAAUUUUUGCAUUUGUUUUCUGAUUCGUAAAUAUAUUUUUAGAAAGAUUAUAUGAUAUAU